AUACGUAGGUGACCAGCGUUAUCCGGAUUUAUUGGGUUUAAAGGGUGCGCAGGCGGGAGAUUAAGUCGGCGGUGAAAUUUUGCAGCUCAACUGUAAAAGUGCCUUUGAAACUGGUUUUCUUGAGUGUAGGGGAGGGAGGCGGAAUUUGUGGUGUAGAGGGGAAAUGCAUAGAUAUCACGAGGAACUCCGAUUGCGCAGGCAGCUUACUAAACUACUACUGACGCUCAGGCACGAAGGCGUGGGGAUCAAACAGGAUUAGAUACCCUGGUAGUCCACGCAGUAAACGAUGAUUACUAGCUGUUUGCGAUACAAUGUAAGCGGCUGAGCGAAAGCGUUAAGUAAUCCACCUGGGGAGUACGUUCGCAAGAAUGAAACUCAAAGGAAUUGACGGGG
rnacentral:rRNA from 1 species